rnacentral:rRNA from 1 species
UACGUAGGGUGCAAGCGUUGUCCGGAAUUAUUGGGCGUAAAGAGCUCGUAGGCGGUUUGUCGCGUCUGCUGUGAAAGACCGGGGCUCAACUCCGGUUCUGCAGUGGGUACGGGCAGACUAGAGUGCAGUAGGGGAGACUGGAAUUCCUGGUGUAGCGGUGAAAUGCGCAGAUAUCAGGAGGAACACCGAUGGCGAAGGCAGGUCUCUGGGCUGUAACUGACGCUGAGGAGCGAAAGCGUGGGGAGCGAACAGG